AAGUCGUAACAAGGUAACCGUAGGUGAACCUGCGGUUGGAUCAUUAAAAAGAUUUAGUUUGGGAAUGGAAAAUCUUAAUGAUUGCCAUUUCACUCAAACCCUUGCACUAUGCAAGGAAUGCGAGUCACCUUGAUGUGCACAAGGUCUUCCGGGAUCUGGUCUUUAUCCGUCAGUCUGGGUCACAAGCCGAGGCCGUGGACAACCUGCCAACCACUAGAAAACAAAACACAUUUUUCCUUUGUUUUUUGAAUCUGAUUUUUGUCAUGCCAUUACUUUGGCAUGGCAAUGAAAAAAUUGAAACAACUUUUGGCAAUGGAUCUCUUGGCUCUC
rnacentral:misc_RNA from 1 species